rnacentral:lncRNA from 1 species
UCUAUCUCUGUUGAAUAAAUAAAUAAAAUCUUUAAAAAAAAAAAAAGAAAUGGAAGAUUACUAAAACUGUUGGUAAACACAGGUAUAAUCACAAUACUCAUUCUUUGGGACCCCACGAAGCCUCAUGCUAGAAAUCAUUACCUAGAGUGCCAGGAAGGUGUAAUGAAGAGAAAAAAGUACUAGGAAUGGAGUGAGUUCUGGGUUUUCAUCCCUGCUUUUGCUGCCUGACAAUGUGAGUGACUUCAGGCAAACACUAACACUCAGUUUGCCGAACUGUGAUGUGAGAGGUGUCCCUGAGCAUUUCCCUGCCCGUCAAGAUUCAUAAUGAAACUGAAGUUGAAACCUAGUUCCUUAGCUGGUACAAGUCCCAAGUAACCCUCUCUCGUUACCAGUUCCUAGGGACGUUGCAGCCUGUCACCCUUUCUGUUUCUUGAGCUCCCUCCAGCACUGUCUACUUAAGUCAAGAGCCCAAGUUUGCACAAAAAUAACAAUAAUAGUCACAAUCAACAUUAGCAGCAGCAGAAGCAGCACCAUCUCUAUGGAAAGCUUCCCGCCAUCUUGUUCUUUGGUUCCCUUUUUUUCUACCCCCUCAUCUCUAUUCCACACCCCCUCCAUCUCAGAUAAACCCAAGAACUCCAAUCCCUUGUCACACUAUCCUGCCACCCAGUUCUCACUCUGAAGUCUUGGCACCAGCAACAAGAAGAGAGGCUUUGAUAGGAGAGAAGGCAAGGAAGGCAUCAGAUAUGUCAGAGGCUCAUGGUCUCCCCAGAACCCUCAUCAAGACUGCAGACUAACACAUUUCUCUUCCUAACGGUCCAAAAUGCCCCAAAUCUACCUUACUGCCAGCAUGGAAGUAAACUCUCAUCGUCAAGCACCCGCAAAGAGUUUUCAAUUCCUCAACAAGCAGCAAGCUCUACAAAUCACCAUCACGCCCAAGAGAAGAGCAAAUCAAAUUGCUUUUGAAAGAUACAAAGAGAAGAAAAACUAAAAGCUCUCAUUCUUAAUCUAAAAACAAUGCAUAUGUAUGAGCAACACUAAACUCUAAAUAUACAUUUGUAUUUCACCCACACUGCUUAUGACUACAGAUUUUUGCCAAAAAUAUUACAUUUAAGUAUAAUACCUCAACUUUUUGAAAAUCUCCAAACCCCCUAUCUUUCCUCUCUCCACUGCCUACCCCCAACCCAAAUAUAUUACUACAAACUUCUGGGUGACGGACAGAAAAUCUCAUACUAGGGGCGCCUGGGUAGCGCAGUCGUUGGGCGGCUGCCUUCGGCUCAGGGCGUGAUCCUGGCAUUCCAGGAUCGAGUCCCACAUCGGGCUCCUCCGCUGGGAGCCUGCUUCUUCCUCUCCCACUCCCCCUGCUUGUGUUCCCUCUCUCGCUGGCUGUCUCUCUCUGUCAAAAUAAAUAAAUAAAAUCUUAAAAAAAAAAAAAAAAA